rnacentral:rRNA from 1 species
CCUACGGGGGGCAGCAGUGGGGGAUAUUGCACAAUGGGGGGAACCCUGAUGCAGCGACGCCGCGUGGGUGAAGAAGCGCCUCGGCGCGUAAAGCCCUGUCAGCAGGGAAGAAAAUGACGGUACCUGAAGAAGAAGCCCCGGCUAACUACGUGCCAGCAGCCGCGGGAAUACGUAGGGGGCAAGCGUUAUCCGGAUUUACUGGGUGUAAAGGGGGCGCAGACGGCGAUGCAAGCCAGGAGGGAAAGCCCGGGGCCCAACCCCGGGACUGCUCUUGGAACUGCGUGGCUGGAGUGCAGGAGGGGCAGGCGGAAUUCCUGGUGUAGCGGUGAAAUGCGUAGAUAUCAGGAGGAACACCAGUGGCGAAGGCGGCCUACUGGGCUUUAACUGACGCUGAGGCACGAAAGCGUGGGUAGCAAACAGGAUUAGAUACCCUAGUAGUC